CUGGGAAGUAUUUUUGAAAACAGUUUUUAAAAAUGUCUUCUUCAGGGGCAAGGAUUACUUUUUUGGAUGCUGUCUAUAGAAUGGUGAGGUGGGGAUGUCAAUUUCUCUAAUUUUGGUGAUUCUUAAUCUUCAUCUUUUAAUAGACUUUAUUUUUUUAAAGUUUUACACAAAAAUUGAACAGACAGUACAGCAGGCCCCCAUAUACCUUCCCCUUCCACUAUUAUUGUUUUGUGUAUGAUAAAUUUGUUACAAUUAAUGACUCAAUGUAAAAUAUUAUAAUUAACUGAAGUCCAUAUUUAUUCAGAUUUCCCUUGUUUUUGCUCAUGUCUUUUCUCUUCCAGGAUCCCAUUCAGUUUAAAACUUAUGUUCAGUUGUCAUGUUAAAGUCAUGUUAAGUAACAGUUAAGUACAUUUAGUUAAUUACACUUAGUUGUUAUGUCUCCUUAGGCUCUUCCUGCUGGUGAUGUUAACCUUCAUAUUUUUGGGUCAUGAGCUGGGUUGAAAAAUCUGAUGAAAAUUACGAAUCCUUUCCACAAAAAAAUGCACAUACUUCAAAUGUGUAAUUUAAUGGAGAUCUGCCUAUAGCUGAUUCAGAAGCCCUGCUUGAGGAGAAAUGACUAAUCUUUAAAAUACCUGCUCUCUGCAUUUGGUCUCAAGGUCAGUCUCUACCUCUAAUUUGCUGUGACCUUUCUGCAAAGCUCUUUCCCAAAUGGGCCUCAGUUUCACCAUCUGUGAAAUGGCAGGCUUGGUGUACAUGAUGUCUAAAUCCUUUCCCAGCACAGUGAAAGAUGGACAUCACCUAGCAUUGUGGCUUCUGGUAGUUAUGAAACUCCUGAGAGCAACAGCAGAGAAUGUACCCAGUAAGAUAUUGAGUGAGGAAUUAUGAUAAGAAGAACGAGAAUAUGGGAGGGUGUACUGAUGAAGAGCGGAUCUGAGGAAUGUGUUGUUCGGCUCAAGGCUCAGGCAAGAAGAAACUGGUUCACUUUCAGGAUCUCGAAUCACACCCGCUCCCUGCUGGGGUCAAUUCCACGUCCAUUCCGGCCCCGCCUUCGUCCCACCUUCUUUCCUUCCAUUCAUGCGGCGACGUGCCACACUCUGCAUGGCCGUCACCUUGCGACACUUUCCAUCACGCGAGGGCUCUGCGCGCGCUCUCGCACUGCCAACUCACUCCAAUCCCUGUCCGCCUUUGGACUUUUCCGAUUGGCUCAUUACUUAAGUGAUGAAAGUGUUCCUUAUUCCACCCCUGUUUCCCUCGGGCUCCGCCCCGCCUCCUCCCCGUUUUCCAGACGCGAGUUGAAAGCUAACCUACCCUCGUCUACGUUUCCCGGGAAGAGUCGGGGAAAGCUGGCUAAACCAGGAAGGCACUUGCUGUGGCGCGCACGCGCACGCACGUACGCACGUCGGCGGCUGAAGGGGCGGCAGGCUCGUGCCCGGGCUCGCCCCUCGCCGCGCCAGAGGCUCGCGCACUCAGCAGGUUGUGCUGCGGCGGCGGCAGCUGUGGGAACCGACGGGCUGCGUGUGAGAGGUCCCAGACGCGUGUGCGACUCCGGCCCCGCCACUCUCACCCCAGUUUCCGUGCCGGGUGCUGAGAAGGGAACGGCGCUAGCCUUGGGAAUCUUGGAAGCACACCCCUGGCUGCUUCCGACACCGCCCUCCUUCCCUUCCCAGCCGCGGGCCUCGCUCGGUGCUAGGCGACUCCGCGGGGAGGCGGCAGUGACGAUUGCCUGUCCGUGGAGAGGAGUCCUCCCUAAAGCCUUGCUGCGCUGCCCGGGCCCUGCAGUGGCCGAGAGCUCGGCGCCCGCCCCCUCUCGCCUUUUUCGUCAACGGGUUAGGGCAGCGUCGGUUCGGGAGGUCUCUGGGCUGAGGCGGCGGCUGGUCCUCCGGCUCCAUCAUGUCCGCGGGCGGAGACUUCGGGAACCCGCUGAGGAAAUUCAAGCUGGUGUUCCUGGGGGAGCAGAGCGUUGGAAAGACGUCCUUGAUCACCAGAUUCAUGUAUGACAGUUUUGACAACACCUACCAGGCAACAAUUGGUAUUGAUUUUUUAUCAAAAACAAUGUACUUGGAGGAUCGAACAGUACGAUUGCAAUUAUGGGACACAGCAGGUCAAGAGCGGUUCAGGAGCUUGAUUCCUAGCUACAUUCGUGACUCCACUGUGGCAGUUGUUGUUUAUGAUAUCACAA